rnacentral:rRNA from 1 species
UGGGGAAUCUUGCACAAUGGGCGCAAGCCUGAUGCAGCGACGCCGCGUGAGGGAUGAAGGCCCUCGGGUUGUAAACCUCUUUCGGCAGGGAAGAAGCCGCAAGGUGACGGUACCUGCAAAAGAAGCCCCGGCUAACUACGUGCCAGCAGCCGCGGUAAGACGUAGGGGGCGAGCGUUGUCCGGAUUUAUUGGGCGUAAAGCGCGCGUAGGCGGCUCGGAAAGUCGGGUGUGAAAAUCCGGGGCUCAACCCCGGACCUGCAUCCGAUACUCCCGGGCUAGAGGCAGACAGGGGAGAGCGGAAUUCCUGGUGUAGCGGUGAAAUGCGCAGAUAUCAGGAGGAACACCGGUGGCGAAGGCGGCUUCCUGGCCUGCAACUGACGCUGAGACGCGAAAGCGUGGGGAGCGAACCGGAUUAGAUACCCGCGUAGUCC